rnacentral:tRNA from 1 species
UCCUGCGUGGUGCAAAUGGUGAAGCACUCGGCUACUAACUGAAAGGUUGGUGGUUCAAAUCCACCCAGAGGUG